rnacentral:tRNA from 1 species
GGGGUUGUGGCUGAGCGGUAGAGUGCUCGCCUAGCACAUGUGAGACCCUGGGUUCAAUCCUCAGCAACACUA